AACGAAAAGCAAUAAACACAAGAUUAACUGAAUAAUUAUAAGUUUUCAUUGAAUAAACUAGAACACGUAGUUACAUGGCUCAGAUAGUUUCAAAGAGAAUCAUCUAUAAUUCCUAAUCUAAUGAGAUUAGUUACUCAUAAUUAAAUUAAUCAUCAUAGGAAAUAUGAAAUAAACCAUAUGAAGUGCAGCUCUCUCGGUGGUUUCAGCGUGAUGUUGUUUGCUUGAUCUCCACCUGCCGUUUUCCUCGUUUCCAAUUUUCUCUCCAAUGUCUGCGUUCCCUCUCUGCUGCUGUGCGUGAUGCCUUAUAUAUAUUAUCCAUGAAACCUAAUGUUUUCUUUUAGCCACAUAAGCCAAUCACAAUUUUACUUUCUUUUUGGGCCAGCAAACCGUUUUUGUUCUUUUCUUGGGCUAACAUUGUACUACAUGCCAUAUAUAUAAGACAUGCUAAAUAAUAUAAAAUAUAAAAUCAAAUAUUAUUUGCAACUCUUCUAUUUGGCAACGGCUGAUUG
rnacentral:lncRNA from 1 species